GGCAAUGAUGAUGAAUGCUUUUAUAUUUCUGACACCUCUUGUAUGAGAACAUUAAACUGUUCCUUGAGCACAUUAAGCACCUCUCUGAGCC